UACACACCGCCCGUCAGGCCAUGGGAGUUGGGUAUGCCUGAAGAUGGUUGCCGAGAGGCGCUGUUUAGGGCAGAAUCAGCGACUGGGGCU
rnacentral:rRNA from 1 species